UGCGUAGGUGGUGAGGUAAGUCGGAUGUGAAAUCUCGGAGCUCAACUCCGAAAUGGCAUUGGAAACUACCUUGCUCGAGGAAUGGAGGGGGGACUGGAAUUCUCGGUGUAGCAGUGAAAUGCGUAGAUAUCGAGAGGAACACCAGUGGCGAAGGCGAGUCCCUGGACAUCUCCUGACACUGAGGCACGAAAGCUAGGGGAGCAAACA
rnacentral:rRNA from 1 species